AUUGAACGCUGGCGGCAUGCCUUACACAUGCAAGUCGAACGGCAGCACGGGGCAACCUGGUGGCGAGUGGCGAACGGGUGAGUAAUGCAUCGGAACGUGCCAUUGAGUGGGGGAUAACGUAGCGAAAGUUGCGCUAAUACCGCAUAUUCUGUGAGCAGGAAAGCAGGGGACCGCAAGGCCUUGCGCUCUUUGAGCGGCCGAUGUCAGAUUAGCUAGUUGGUGAGGUAACGGCUUACCAAGGCGACGAUCCGUAGCGGGUCUGAGAGGAUGAUCCGCCACACUGGAACUGAGACACGGUCCAGACUCCUACGGGAGGCAGCAGUGGGGAAUUUUGGACAAUGGGCGCAAGCCUGAUCCAGCCAUGCCGCGUGAGUGAAGAAGGCCUUCGGGUU
rnacentral:rRNA from 1 species